AUUGAACGCUGGCGGCAGGCCUAACACAUGCAAGUCGAACGGAGUGGCGGACGGGUGAGUAAUGUCUGGGAAACUUCCCGAUGGAGGGGGAUCACUACUGGAAACGGUAGCUAAUACCGCAUACUAUCAGAUGAGCCUAGGUCGGAUUAGCUAGUUGGUUGGGUAAAGGCCUACCAAGGCGACGCUCCGUAACUGGUCUGAGCGGAUGAUAAGUCACACUGGAACGGAGACACGGUACAGACUCAUACGGGAGGCAGCAGUGGGGAAGAGGGGACAAGGGGCGAAAGCCGGAUCCAGCCAUGCCGCGGGUGUGAAGAAGGUCUUCGGAUUGGAAAGCACUUUAAGUUGGGAGGCGUUACCAACAGAAUAAGCACCGGCUAACUUCGUGCCAGCAGCCGCGGUAAUAC
rnacentral:rRNA from 1 species